rnacentral:rRNA from 1 species
UAGGGAAUCUUCGGCAAUGGACGAAAGUCUGACCGAGCAACGCCGCGUGAGUGAAGAAGGUUUUCGGAUCGUAAAACUCUGUUGUUAGAGAAGAACAAGGACGUUAGUAACUGAACGUCCCCUGACGGUAUCUAACCAGAAAGCCACGGCUAACUACGUGCCAGCAGCCGCGGUAAUACGUAGGUGGCAAGCGUUGUCCGGAUUUAUUGGGCGUAAAGCGAGCGCAGGCGGUUUCUUAAGUCUGAUGUGAGAGCCCCCGGCUCAACCGGGGAGGGUCAUUGGAAACUGGGAGACUUGAGUGCAGAAGAGGAGAGUGGAAUUCCCUGUGUAGCGGUGAAAUGCGUAGAUAUGUUGAGGAACACCAGUGGCGAGGGCGGCUCUCUGGUCUGUAACUGACGCUGAGGCUCGAAAGCGUGGGGAGCAAACAGG